rnacentral:rRNA from 1 species
AUUGAACGCUGGCGGCAGGCUUAACACAUGCAAGUCGAGCGGUAACAGAGAGAAGCUUGCUUCUCUGCUGACGAGCGGCGGACGGGUGAGUAAUGCCUAGGAAUCUGCCUAGUAGUGGGGGAUAGCUUGCCGAAAGGUAAGCUAAUACCGCAUACGUCCUGCGGGAGAAAGGAGGGGACCUUCGGGCCUUUCGCUAUUAGAUGAGCCUAGGUCGGGUUAGUUAGUUGGUGAGGUAAUGGCUCACCAAGACCGCGAUCCGUAACUGGUCUGAGAGGAUGAUCAGUCACACUGGAACUGAGACACGGUCCAGACUCCUACGGGAGGCAGCAGUGGGGAAUAUUGGACAAUGGGGGGAACCCUGAUCCAGCCAUGCCGCGUGUGUGAAGAAGGUCUUAGGAUUGUAAAGCACUUUAAGUUGGGAGGAAGAGCAGUUAACUAAUAUUUGACUGUUUUGACGUUACCGACAGAAUAAGCACCGGCUAACUUCGUGCCAGCCGCCGCGGUAA